UACGAAGGUCCCAAGCGUUGUUCGGAAUCACUGGGCGUAAAGGGGGCGUAGGCGGCGUGGUAAGUCAGAUGUGAAAUCCCGGGGCUCAACCCCGGAACUGCAUCCGAUACUGCCAUGCUUGAGGGUUGGAGAGGUAGCUGGAAUUCCGCGUGUAGCAGUGAAAUGCGUAGAUAUGCGGAGGAACACCGAUGGCGAAGGCAAUCCCCUGGGCCUGCACUGACGCUCAUGCACGAAAGCGUGGGGAGCAAACAGG
rnacentral:rRNA from 1 species